CGGCACGCAGGGGCGCGCCUGGAGACGCGCAUGCGCGGCGGGGCCGCGCUGGCCGGCCUCGGGGCCGGGUCUCUGGCGAUUCAGGCCUUUUGCUAAGAGUCGUGACGUGCACGUGACCCCAUUGACCAGCCUUUCCCGCAUGAAUUCUUGACAACUUUCAAGAUCCAGAUGGGAAGAGGGCAGUGCUAUAGGAGGGGAGACCACUGGUGACAUGCCAGGCGGAUCCAAAACCAAGCAGAAGCGCUCAGAAGCACCCUUGUCAGAACACUGGGAGAGAGACGUUGACAGCCACCAACCGAAUGCUGAACAAAGGUGGAGGAAACUGGAAAAUGAAUGCUAUGGUGAAUGCCACCGAGUCCAUGGGGACAGUAAUGAGAAAAUGAAGAUGGAUGCUUCUUGGAGCUCAGCUAACGGUGGAGGAAGAACUUUGGACAGACUUCUACGCUUCCCACCCUCUGACACCUGUAGAAAAUCGUCAUUCUAGUCCAGAGUUAUCGGUUUCCCCCUGGACUCCUGCAAACUCUACCUGGAAGAAGAAUCUGUUCUCCAUCUCUGAGGCAGUGGUUCUCACACAUGCUCAUCACAAGAGUCCCUCAAAGGGGCAGAGUCCCAGCUGGAAUCAGGAAAUGUGAUCACAGAAGCCAGGUCAGAGUGAUGUGCCUGUUGGCUUCAAAGACGGAGGAAAGGGGCCAUGAGCCAAAGGAUGUGAGCAGCCUCUAGAAGCUGGACAAGGCAAAGAUUCUCUGCCAGAGACUCUGAAAGGAACAGAGCUCCGCCGACAUCUGCGUUAGCCCAGUGAGACCCUUUUUGGACAUCUGGACUAGAGAAUGCAUUCCAUUGGCACGGCGUUUAGAACCUGAGUCUCUGCAAACAUGAUUAAAGGAAAGGAGUUACUAGUUUUUCCUCUCUUCUGGCUGUUAUCUGGGAAGCUCUGAACUCAGAGGAGUUGCCGAGUGGGGGUGUCUUGCAUGAAAGAAGAUGGGAAGGAAAGAACUCCCCAUUUCACCUUCCUAAGCAGUGGAGGAAGGGGAUCAGAAACAGCAAGUGCUGAUGAAAACUCCACUUCCAAAUACAUUCCAUGGCUUAUUUGUGGAGGGAAAUGCUUUUUACCUUUUGAACUUUCAGAUACCUGGCAAAAGCAAAUGGGAUUUCCAGGGAAUGUGUGAAAGGAUCUGGCCCUGCUCUUCGGGACAUCUGCUCAAAUUCCAGGCAGAAUGGACAGAGAGGCUCCUUUCCCGAAAGAAGCAUCAAGAACAGUGCUUGGCAUUAAUUAUAAUAGCCAAGAUAUGGAAACAUCCUAAAGAUCCAUACGACCGUCCACAGAGUGAAUAAAGAAGAUGUGGUAUGUGUAUAUUGAAAUGCUACUCGGCUAUAAAAAAGAAUGGAGUGAUGCCAUUUCCAGCAACAUGGAUGAACCUAGGGAUUUUGUCAUAUUAAGUGAAGUCAGAAAGGCUUAGACCUGGAAGAAACUGCUGUUGCUGCUAUAACAAUAAAGCCAAAGGAAUUUGAGACCAGGCUCUGAGGUUUGCCGUGUGUUUUGGUAGCAUUUACCUCUGCUCUCCUUCUCACUCUCUUAUAAUUAUAUUCAUUUUUUUAAAAGCAAGCAGAAUACUUAUUAAAAAUUUCUAUCAUAGAUGAAUUUCUAAAUGAGUUACCAAUGCAUUUCCACGACAGCCAAAUUUUUUUUUUUGGUAUUUUUUUUAGGGCCGCACCCUCAGCAUAUGUAAGUUCCCAGGCUAAGGGUCAAAAGGGAGCUGUAGCUGCUGGCCUACACCACAGCCAUAGCAAUGAUGGAUCCUUAACCCACUGAGCGAGGCCAGGGAUGGAACCCACAUCCCCUCAUGGAUACUAGACAGAUUCAUAACCCGCCGAGCCGCAAUGGGAACUCCCUGUGUUCCUAGCUUCUUAUGCAUUGUUUUGGAACUAAUGCUUUUAUUCCCAGCAGAAAUAAAUACAUCCUUAUUAACAAUACACGCUGCGAUCUCAAAUUGAGUCCAGCAAAUGACUUUUCUUUGAACCUCUUAUCUUGAAAGAAUUCCGUGUUCACCGAAAGUGGCAGGAAUAUUGAGCAAGUUGGUCUCACACACCCUUCGACCUGUACUUUCAGUGGUGACAUCUCGCAAAACUGUAGUAAAAUAUUACAACCGGAGAAUGAAAAUGGCACAAUCUAGGAAGCUUACUCAAAUUUCCUAAGUUUUACAAGCACUCGUGUGUGGUGGUGGGGCGACAGGGCGCCGUACACACCAGUGUAUCAAUGUAUUGGGUGUGAUUUUAUCACGUGGGUAGAUUCAUGUAGCCGUCACUGCGGAUCCAGACACAAAAAUCAAUAUCCUUUUGUUACCCCUGCACAGCCAACCUCUAUCCUUCCUUGUCUGACCUUUUUCAAGCAUUUCCAUCUCUACAGAGACCACCUCUCUAAUUUUUGUCAUUUCUGGAAUGUUGGAUAGAUGACAUUUUAUAAAGCAGCAUUUUGAGGCUGGUUUUUUAAAACUCAGCCUUAUUUCCUUUAGAUGGACCCCAGCUUUUGCCCGUCCUGCUAGAUAACAGUCUUGUUAUGCUCGCAUCACAGGUUUUUUUGGUUUUUUUUUCCCCCAGUCACUUGUUGAAAUACAUUUGGGUUGUUUCCAGUUCGAGGCUAUUACCAAUAAAGCUCCUAUGAACAUUCAUGUACAGGUUUUUGUGUGAAAAUUAGUUUUCAUUUCUCUGGGAUAAAUGCCCAAAGCUACAAUGGCUAAAUUGUGCAGUAAGUGCACGCUGCGUUUUUAAAGAAACUGCCACACUAUUUUCUAGAGUGACUGUGACAUUUUCAUUCCCACCAGCAUGUAAGCGAUCUGCUUUCUGCGUUCCCAGCAGCAUUUGGCGCUGUCACUGCUUCUUAUUUUAAGGGCUGAUAGGAUGGAGUGAUGUCCAUGGUUUUAAUUUUCAUCACCUGGAUGGCAAAUAAUGUUGAUCGCCUUGUCAUGUGUUUGGUGCCCAUCUGUAGGUCCUUCUCUGUGAAAUGUGAAAUCCUUUGCUCAUUCCCUGAUUGACUAUUCAUGUUAUUACUAUUGAGUUUGGGGAGUUCUUUACAGAUUCUAGACAUAAGACCUUUAUUGGAUAUGUGGUUAGCAAAGGUUUUCUCCCAAUAUAUAGCUUCAUCUUUUUCUUUUUCUUUUCCUUUUUUUUUUUUUGUCUUUUGUCUUUUUAA